UAUAUAUAUAUAUAUAUAUAUAUAUAUAUUGGUCACUCAGGACCUGAACUCACAUUUCCCAUACUGCUGACUCAGGGUGGACACACUACUAACUUACCAAAGUGUGUCCCCAGUAUAGACAAUCACCCAAUUGAUGGAGAAUCAUUGUUUGCAAUAAAGACAUGGACACUACAAAUGUGCUUUAACAAGAUUCUCAGUGAGUAUAUUUUCAGGGUUAGCAUAUAAAGCAAAAAGAGUUAACCAUUUCAUAUCCUUACAGUCAGCACUAAUGAUUAUAAACCUUAUUUAAGCAUAAAAUACAUAUGAACAAGAAAAGUUAACUACUUC